GCUUAUCACCAUUCCAGAUUGAAUAUACCCGAUCUCGUCUGAUCUCGGAAGUCAAGCAAUCUCGGGCCUUGGGUUAGUAACUU
rnacentral:rRNA from 1 species